UACGUAGGGUGCGAGCGUUAAUCGGAAUUACUGGGCGUAAAGCGUGCGCAGGCGGUUAUUUAAGUCAGGUGUGAAAGCCCUGGGCUUAACCUAGGAAUUGCGCUUGAGACUGGAUAGCUUGGAGUGCGGCAGAGGGAGGUGGAAUUCCACGUGUAGCAGUGAAAAUGCGUAGAGAUGUGGAGGAACACCGAUGGCGAAGGCAGCCUCCUGGGCCAGCACUGACGCUCAUGCACGAAAGCGUGGGGGAGCAAACAGG
rnacentral:rRNA from 1 species